GAUGAACGCUAGCUACAGGCUUAACACAUGCAAGUCGAGGGGAAACGACAUCGAAAGCUUGCUUUUGAUGGGCGUCGACCGGCGCACGGGUGAGUAACGCGUAUCCAACCUGCCCGUCACUUGGGGAUAACCUUGCGAAAGUAAGACUAAUGCCCAAUGACAUUUAUAGAAGGCAUCCGAAAUGAAUUAAAGAUUUAUCGGUGAUGGAUGGGGAUGCGUCUGAUUAGCUUGUUGGCGGGGUAACGGCCCACCAAGCCCACGAUCAGUAGGGGUUCUGAGAGGAAGGUCCCCCACAUUGGAACUGAGACACGGUCCAAACUCCUACGGGAGGCAGCAGUGAGGAAUAUUGGUCAAUGGACGGAAGUCUGAACCAGCCAAGUAGCGUGCAGGACGACGGCCCUAUGGGUUGUAAACUGCUUUUAUGUGGGAAUAAAGUGAGGGACGUGUCCCUUUUUGUAGGUACCACAUGAAUAAGGACCGGCUAAUUCCGUG
rnacentral:rRNA from 1 species